rnacentral:rRNA from 1 species
CAGGACGAACGCUGGCGGCGUGCCUAAUACAUGCAAGUCGAACGCUUCUUUCCUCCCGAGUGCUUGCACUCAAUUGGAAAGAGGAGUGGCGGACGGGUGAGUAACACGUGGGUAACCUACCCAUCAGAGGGGGAUAACACUUGGAAACAGGUGCUAAUACCGCAUAACAGUUUAUGCCGCAUGGCAUAAGAGUGAAAGGCGCUUUCGGGUGUCGCUGAUGGAUGGACCCGCGGUGCAUUAGCUAGUUGGUGAGGUAACGGCUCACCAAGGCCACGAUGCAUAGCCGACCUGAGAGGGUGAUCGGCCACACUGGGACUGAGACACGGCCCAGACUCCUACGGGAGGCAGCAGUAGGGAAUCUUCGGCAAUGGACGAAAGUCUGACCGAGCAACGCCGCGUGAGUGAAGAAGGUUUUCGGAUCGUAAAACUCUGUUGUUAGAGAAGAACAAGGACGUUAGUAACUGAACGUCCCCUGACGGUAUCUAACCAGAAAGCCACGGCUAACUACGUGCCAGCA